rnacentral:rRNA from 1 species
UACGGAGGGUGCAAGCGUUGUCCGGAAUUAUUGGGCGUAAAGAGCUCGUAGGCGGUUUGUCGCGUCGGCUGUGAAAUCCCGGAGCUCAACUCCGGGUCUGCAGUCGAUACGGGCAGACUUGAGUGUUGCAGGGGAGACUGGAAUUCCUGGUGUAGCGGUGAAAUGCGCAGAUAUCAGGAGGAACACCGGUGGCGAAGGCGGGUCUCUGGGCAACAACUGACGCUGAGGAGCGAAAGCGUGGGGAGCAAAAGGG